GCCAGGGGUGGAAGGCGAGUCAGUAGGGCGUAAGGCUACCAACCUGAAGGUUGUGGGUUCAAUUACCACCCUUUGCA